UACGGGGGGGGCUAGCGUUGUUCGGAAUUACUGGGCGUAAAGCGCACGUAGGCGGACUGUUAAGUCGGGGGUGAAAUCCUGGGGCUCAACCUCAGAAUUGCCUCCGAUACUGGCAGUCUCGAGUGCGGGAGAGGUGAGUGGAAUUCCCAGUGUAGAGGUGAAAUUCGUAGAUAUUGGGAAGAACACCAGUGGCGAAGGCGGCUCACUGGCCCGUAACUGACGCUGAGGUGCGAAAGCGUGGGGAGCAAACAGG
rnacentral:rRNA from 1 species